AUGAUUCGUUUACAGAAAUGUCGAUGCUUCAAGGGUUUUGGUCAUCUAUUGUUUCUAGAGCUGAAGAAGAGACUUCAAAAUGUUGGCAUUCACAUCUUCUGUUGGGGAGACAAAUAUUGUGUGUUUGGGGCUGUUACGCAUGAGAAAUCGAAAGUUGAGUUGUCGCAACAACAUAGUAAUAAGUCUUCUCCUGAGGUUGUACGCGACCCACGAUUUGAAUCUCUCAGUGGAGAACAUGGUGAUGCAUUGUUUAAGACGGGAAGCAGUGAUGGAAUUGCAUCAUUAGAAGGAACAUCCAUCCAGCUUUAG